rnacentral:rRNA from 1 species
AUGUAUUUUAGUUGUAGAUGCAUCCAUUUUGAUGACAAGUAUUUCCGGACGGAGGGAGUAGUAAAAUUACCAAAAUUCUUACAAAAUAUUCUGCAAGUUUUGUUUGCCGCUGCUCAGUCAAGCAAAGCCAACUGCUCGCCACUAUAUGUGGUUCUCUUGCCAUGUCAUGGGGUGCAACCACAAGUGGCACAAGAGUGUAGUUGUGGUGUUCUAAAAUUUACUGAUGUUGAUGUUUCUUUUCAAGAUUGUGGUAUUGUUUACCAAUUUGGUCCCCGGAUUAUGUACUCAUUUCCUUUUCUAUUCUUUGUAGAUAAUUUGCUUCAGUUAAUCGAACUACAUGCUGAAACAUGUGUAUUGUUUCUCAAUAUAUUGGGCAUCAAUUCACCCCUCAUGAGAUCUCUGAAUUUUCUACGCAUAUUGUAUUUGCUGAAUUAUUUCCUCCAGAUAACUAUGCUUGGAUUCACAAAUGCGUGCAAUGCUUUCAAGUAG